rnacentral:rRNA from 1 species
CAUCGCCUCCUGCCCACUCAGCAUAGGAGGUCCCGCCUGCCCUGUGACCAAAAGUUUAACGGCCGCGGUAUUUUAACCGUGCAAAGGUAGCGCAAUCAAUUGUCUUUUAAAUGAAGACCUGUAUGAAUGGCAUAACGAGGGUUUAACUGUCUCUUUUUUCAGGUCAAUGAAACUGAUCUGUCCGUGCAGAAGCGGACAUGUUAACACAAGACGAGAAGACCCUAUGGAGCUUUAGACGCCCACCAACCACGAAAAGCAGCCUACCUAAGCAGAUGCUCUAAACAACGCGGUCCUGGUACAAACGUCUUCGGUUGGGGCGACCGCGGAGGAGAACAAAGCCUCCGAGAGGAAUGGGAACAAACCCUAAAACCAAGAGCCACAGCUCUAAGUCACAAAAAAUUUGACCGACAAUGAUCCGGCUUACUGCCGAUCAACGGACCAAGUUACCCUAGGGAUAACAGCGCAAUCCCCUCCCAGAGUCCAUAUCGACGAGGGGGUUUACGACCUCGAUGUUGGAUCAGGACAUCCUAAUGGUGCAGCCGCUAUUAAGGGUUCGUUUGUUCAACGAUUAAAGUCCUACGUG